GCCUUCGUGGUGUAGCGGUCAGCACGCUCGACGCGUAACCGAGAGAUCCGUGGUUCGAUUCCCGGCGAAGAUA
rnacentral:tRNA from 1 species